GGAUAAACGCUGGCGGCGUGCUUAACACAUGCAAGUCGAACGGAGUAUCCUCGGACGAUGAAGGGCUGCCCGGAGAGAGUCUUGGAAUACUUAGUGGCGGACGGGUGAGUAACGCGUGGGUAACCUGCCUCACACAGGGGGAUAACAGUUGGAAACGACUGUUAAUACCGCAUAAGCGCACAGUACCGCAUGGUACAGUGUGAAAAAACUCCGGUGGUGUGAGAUGGACCCGCGUCUGAUUAGCUAGUUGGUGAGGUAACGGCCCACCAAGGCGACGAUCAGUAGCCGGCCUGAGAGGGUGUACGGCCACAUUGGGACUGAGACACGGCCCAGACUCCUACGGGAGGCAGCAGUGGGGGAUAUUGCGCAAUGGGGGCAACCCUGACGCAAGCAACGCCGCGUGAAGGAUGAAGGUUUUCGGAUUGUAAACUUCUUUUAUCAGGGACGAAGCUUGACGGUACCUGAUGAAUAAGCUCCGGCUAACUACGUGCCAGCAGCUGC
rnacentral:rRNA from 1 species